CGACGGGGGAGAAACGAAGUGAUGAGGGGUUGGCAGCAGCGUGAAUCAGUAUUUUGAUCCAGAAGAAGUGGAUAAAGGUCAGAGCUGAAUGCCGCCCCGGUGAGUCUGAUGUUUGUAGGAGUUCAGUCACAAAGCUCCAAGGAUCAGUGCAGCCUGUGUUUCAGAGGAUUUAUUAAGCCCUUGUGGUUAUGUGAGGAUUGGCUCUGUUACAGAGCCCAGCUCAUGAUCAGCAGAGCGAGAUGCAAAGAAAAUGAACAAGUGUUGGCCUGGAGCGACAGCAGGCAGUGCCACCGCUGCUGAUGACCUUCACUGUCUGAGCCCUGCAGGCAGAGAGACAGACUACCUGUGUCACUCUGUCUUUCACUCUCUUCACCUGAAACCUCAGAUGCUUACACUAUCUCCUCUUUUCAAUGUCAUCUCAUCUUCAUCCUUAUCCUUGUUAUCUCCUUUUUCUUCUAUGCUCUUUCCACCUGUUACACUCUUUUUCCCCCAGUGCAUUCAUGGUCUUUAGGACAUAAAUCCUUUCAUUCAUUUCAAAACACCUCAUGGUCUUCCCUUUAGCACCACUCUUACACUUCUAUCACUGAUAUUCCCCUUGGAAGAUUUAACAAUGAAAGUGAAGUGAAAUAAACGAGUCAUUGGCAGAUAAUUGGCUUACAUGUGUCACUAAGCUGUUUGCAUCACAUCACAUAGAAGGAAUGGAAUACAUUAUUCACAUGAACAGACACUGAGCUCUGAGCAGAAACUAACAGCAUCCAAAUGUGUUCAGCAGUAUUCCUGACCUGUCACCUGAUUGCCAUACCAGUCAAAUCUGAACACACACACACUUCAUUCACACACUGUUAGAAUUACAGUCAAAUCUUCGUCUCAUAAUUAUCAGCUUUAGUCUUUUUCUUUACUAUCAAAACUAACACAGUGAUUAUUGAGCAACAAAACUAAAAGCUAACACAACAUGACUUUUUAAGGAGCAGAUGUGUAAAAAUAUUAUUGGCUAAAAGAUUCUUCACUAUAAUGAAGAUGAUGUAGAUCAUUUCAUGGUCAAUAUUCAGACAUUCAGUGAGGUUCUGUUUAGUUGUGGUGGCAGGAUCAUGUUUUCUUGUUGUACAGGUGUUGUUUUCAUUUCAUGAUCCCACGCUGAGGUCAGCUGCUUCUAGAAUCUUGCGUGACUCAGCUGUAAACAGGAAACUGAUGAGCUGAAGUUCAUUUAGCAUCUUGCAAAAUGGCCUGUAGAGCUUUUCAGAUUUUUGUUAAUAGCUUUCUCAUUUUUGUCACUUCAAAGAAAUUUUAUUUCUAUGUGGACCUUCAUGUACAAACUCCAUUUUUUAUUGAUUUAUGUAAUGUAUUUAUGUAAUGUAUGAUGUAAUGUUUUAUUGAUUUAUGUAAUGUAUUAUACUAUUGUAGCACAUUUUUUGUCAUCGGCUUUCUCUUUUUUUAGAACACUUCAGAUCCUUUCAUCUGAACCUCCUCCCAUUAUAUUCUCAACUGCCAUUUUUAAAAGAGAAAUCAUGCAAUAUGGUCCAAUGACUUGUAUUAUAUUCCCACAGUUCAAACCUCUCUUUGCUUUUCCAAUCUUCAUGUCCACUUGAACAACAGUUACACAGCGUUUAUUUACUCAGCUAAGACUCUUUUUU